rnacentral:rRNA from 1 species
UACGUAGGGGGCAAGCGUUGUUCGGAAUUACUGGGCGUAAAGGGCGCGUAGGCGGAUAUCUAAGUUGGGGGUGAAAUCCCGGGGCUCAACCUCGGAAUUGCCUUCAAAACUGGAUAUCUUGAGUUCGGGAGAGGUGAGUGGAACUCCGAGUGUAGAGGUGAAAUUCGUAGAUAUUCGGAAGAACACCAGUGGCGAAGGCGACUCACUGGCCCGAUACUGACGCUGAGGCGCGAAAGCGUGGGGAGCAAACAGG